rnacentral:rRNA from 1 species
CACGUAGGGUGCGAGCGUUGUCCGGAAUUAUUGGGCGUAAAGAGCUCGUAGGCGGUGUGUCGCGUCGGCCGUGAAAACUUGCAGCUUAACUGUGGGCGUGCGGUCGAUACGGGCAUCACUGGAGUUCGGCAGGGGAGACUGGAAUUCCUGGUGUAGCGGUGAAAUGCGUAGAGAUCGGCAGGAACACCCAGGGGGAAACCAGCCGGCUGGGGACGAGCUGACGCUCAGGGGCGAAAGCGUGGGGAGCGAACCGG